rnacentral:tRNA from 1 species
GGCGUUGUAGCUCAGAAGUAGAGCACCUGCCUGAAGAGCAGGGGGUCGGGAUUGCGAAAUUCUCCGACGCCACCA